UAGAGAAAAAAAAAAUAGAGAUUGCUUUUCAUUUGUUUUCAAGAACCUGUAAUGUAUUGACUUGCAAGGCGUGUGAACACUUUGUUCAUUGUCCAAUUUCUCCCGCUGGUACACAUGUUUUUGUGUAGCAGUGUAAGGUAAAAUGUUCGUCUUUAUGUGAGAGGGACAAUGCUUGCUGUGUUCAGUAAUAUAAACAGAGUUAUGCAUGUACCGGUCUACAAAGUGAGGCUGAACUCCCGUGCAUGCGAUUUGAUUUUAGAUUGUGUACAGUUAUUUCAUGUACACUGUAUUACAAAGUGAAAUUUUAAUAUGACUGAACAGAAGUGUAUUGAGUUAAAAUGAAAAUUUAAUGCUGAACAAAAUUAGGAUGAGUGCAAUUUUGAGGAUUUUUGAUUUCAAGUACCAGAAGAUUUACCGGUAUAUGUUUGUAUAUAUAUAUUAAAAUACUUUUUAUCCCAUGCCAGGAUACGAUGUCAUAGAAUUGUAGUUUGAAUAACUACAUUGAUUUCAAAAGUUGUUUUAAAUGUUUUCUCUUUUUAAAUUUUAAUUUUUUAAGUUUACAUAAAAAGUGUAUCAAUAUUUUAAUAGCUAUAACAAAGUCCUUGAAAGUUGCUAUAUAAAUGAUAAUCAAUGCUGACUUUGAAAGUAUUUAAAUCUCAUUUUUUGAAUAUCAAGUGUAUGUUUCUUUGUUAUGGUUAAUAAACUGGGUGGGUUUUUUUUUACACUGAAAGAAUGAGUAGUAAUAUUCCAGUACCGUACUUCUUUCUUUUGCAAUAUGAACAAUUCUGUAACUGGGAAUUUCUUUGGAAUUUUAGUGAGUCAUUGAAUGUAUAUAGACGUACAUUGUACAUGCAUUUACCGACAUUUGUUCAGUGUUCUUGUGAUAAUAAGUAAUAUUUAUUACAUUCUUCAGUCUUCAUUAUAAAUGUGAGUAGUAUACCAUUUCGUUGAAAAUGUACUUGUUGUUACAUAGAGUUGAUUGUAACUGUAGCGUAAAACCCUGUCCCUAUUUCUUUUCCAAAGUUACUGAACUAUCAUUUUUAAUAAAGUGAUUUUUUUU
rnacentral:misc_RNA from 1 species